rnacentral:rRNA from 1 species
UAACACGUGAGUAACCUGCCCCUGACUCUGGGAUAAGCCCGGGAAACUGGGUCUAAUACCGGAUAUGACUACUGGCCGCAUGGUCUGGUGGUGGAAACGACUUUUUUAGUUGGGGAAUGGAACUCGCGGGCCUAUCAGGCUUGUUGGUGAGGUAGUGGACUCACCAAGGCGACGACGGGUAGCCGGCCUGAGAAGGGUGACAGGCCACACUGGAACUGAGACACGGCCCAGACUCCUACGGGAGGCAGCAGUGGGGAAUAUUGCACAAUGGGCGAAAGCCUGAUGCAGCGACGCCGCGUGAGGGAUGACGGCCUUCGGGUUGUAAACCUCUUUCAGUAGGGAAGAAGCGAAAGUGACGGUACCUGCAGAAGAAGCGCCGGGCUAACUACGUGCCAGCAGCCGCGGUAAUACGUAGGGCGCAAGCGUUAUCCGGGAAUUAUUGGGCGUAAAGAGCUCGUAGGCGGUUUGUCGCGUCUGCCGUGAAAGUCCGGGGCUUAACCCCGGAUCUGCGGUGGGUACGGGCAGACUAGAGUGAUGUAGGGGAGACUGGAAUUCCUGGUGUAGCGGUGAAAUGCGCAGAUAUCAGGAGGAACACCGAUGGCGAAGGCAGGUCUCUGGGCAUUAACUGACGCUGAGGAGCGAAAGCAUGGGGAGCGAACAGGAUUAGAUACCCUGGUAGUCCAUGCCGUAAACGUUGGGCACUAGGUGUGGGGAACAUUCCACGUUUUCCGCGCCGUAGCUAACGCAUUAAGUGCCCCGCCUGGGGAGUACGGCCGCAAGGCUAAAACUCAAAGGAAUUGACGGGGGCCCGCACAAGCGGCGGAGCAUGCGGAUUAAUUCGAUGCAACGCGAAGAACCUUACCAAGGCUUGACAUGGACUGGAUCGCCGCAGAGAUGUGGUUUCCCUUCGGGGCUGGUUCACAGGUGGUGCAUGGUUGUCGUCAGCUCGUGUCGUGAGAUGUUGGGUUAAGUCCCGCAACGAGCGCAACCCUCGUUCCAUGUUGCCAGCGGGUUAUGCCGGGGACUCAUGGGGAGACUGCCGGGGUCAACUCGGAGGAAGGUGGAGGACGACGUCAAAUCAUCAUGCCCCUUAUGUUCUUGGGCUUCACGCAUGCCUACAAUGGCCGGUACAAAGGGCUUGCAAUACUGUGUGAGGUGGAGCUAAUCCCAAAAAGCCGGGUCUCAGUUCCGGAAUGUGGGGUCUUGCAACUCGACCCCAUGAAGUCGGAGUCGCUAGUAAUCGCAGAUCAGCAACGCUGCGGUGAAUACGUUCCCGGGCCUUGUACACACCGCCCGUCAAGUCAUG